rnacentral:rRNA from 1 species
AGGUAAGCUACUAAGAGCGAAUGGUGGAUGCCUUGACUGGUAAAGGCGAUGAAGGACGUACUAGACUGCGAUAAGCUACGGGGAGCUGUCAAGAAGCUUUGAUCCGUAGAUUUCCGAAUGGGGCAACCCAAUGUAUAGAGAUAUACAUUACCUAUAUAGGAGCGAACGAGGGGAAUUGAAACAUCUUAGUACCCUCAGGAAAAGAAAUCAAUAGAGAUUGCGUCAGUAGCGGCGAGCGAAAGCGCAAGAGGGCAAACCCAGUGCUUGCACUGGGGGUUGUAGGACUGCAAUGUGCAAGAGCUGAGUUUAGCAGAACAUUCUGGAAAGUAUAGCCAUAGAGGGUGAUAGUCCCGUAUGCGAAAAACAAAGCUUAGCUAGCAGUAUCCUGAGUAGGGCGGGACACGAGGAAUCCUGUCUGAAUCCGGGUCGACCACGAUCCAACCCUAAAUACUAAUACCAGAUCGAUAGUGCACAAGUACCGUGAGGGAAAGGUGAAAAGAACUGAGGUGAUCAGAGUGAAAUAGAACCUGAAACCAUUUGCUUACAAUCAUUCAGAGCACUAUGUAGCAAUACAGUGUGAUGGACUGCCUUUUGCAUAAUGAGCCUGCGAGUUGUGGUGUCUGGCAAGGUUAAGCAAACGCGAAGCCGUAGCGAAAGCGAGUCUGAAUAGGGCGCUUAGUCAGAUGCUGCAGACCCGAAACGAAGUGAUCUAUCCAUGAGCAAGUUGAAGCUAGUGUAAGAACUAGUGGAGGACUGAACCCAUAGGCGUUGAAAAGCCCCGGGAUGACUUGUGGAUAGGGGUGAAAGGCCAAUCAAACUUCGUGAUAGCUGGUUCUCUCCGAAAUAUAUUUAGGUAUAGCGUUGUGUCGUAAUAUAAGGGGGUAGAGCACUGAAUGGGCUAGGGCAUACACCAAUGUACCAAACCCUAUCAAACUCCGAAUACCUUAUAUGUAAUCACAGCAGUCAGGCGGCGAGUGAUAAAAUCCGUCGUCAAGAGGGAAACAACCCAGACUACCAGCUAAGGUCCCUAAAUCUUACUUAAGUGGAAAACGAUGUGAAGUUACUUAAACAACCAGGAGGUUGGCUUAGAAGCAGCCAUCCUUUAAAGAAAGCGUAAUAGCUCACUGGUCUAGUGAUUUUGCGCGGAAAAUAUAACGGGGCUAAAGUAAGUACCGAAGCUGUAGACUUAGUUUACUAAGUGGUAGGAGAGCGUUCUAUUUGCGUCGAAGGUAUACCGGUAAGGAGUGCUGGAGCGAAUAGAAGUGAGCAUGCAGGCAUGAGUAGCGAUAAUUAAUGUGAGAAUCAUUAACGCCGUAAACCCAAGGUUUCCUACGCGAUGCUCGUCAUCGUAGGGUUAGUCGGGUCCUAAGUCGAGUCCGAAAGGGGUAGACGAUGGCAAAUUGGUUA